rnacentral:lncRNA from 1 species
GUGCUCUCAGGGCGACCUCACAGGGGCUUGGCCGUGGCACUGAGGGGAGAGCCUGAUUGGCUGGCUGUUUCAUUGCCAGAUCUCUGAAGGCCAAUCAGGAUUUGUAGCUCAGCCACCUGCUUUCUGAGGAGCACUGAGCAAGAUGGCCACCUCCUGGUGGUAAGUCUCGCUCCUGGAGUUCCCAUCUUGACCCUACAGCGGGACAUUUUGCCGCCACCUCUUUGUGUGUUGGGAAGAUGACGUCCUUUCUGCUCGUCCUGCUUCUCUGAUUGAUCUGUGUCUCUGGAGAUCCCUUUGCUCAGCCAUCAGAUCAAGCAGGCAUCCAUGGUUCAGAAUGGUGAUGACCUGGGCAAGAGCUCACCAGUAAGGAGCAAAGGGGCCCGCCUGCCACUCUUAAGCAGAGCGCCUGCUGAAUCAGGAUUUCCAAGGCUCCGGCUGAGUGCCUGGCUGGGGGCUGUGUGUGCAGAUGCCACAAGAUGGACAAGACUGAGGACGCAGAUUUCCUACAACAGCAGACUUCUGAUGCCCAGGCCUCAGUUCUGAACUCUGGAGGCUACAACCUGGCCUGCUUAUAGACGGUGGACCAAAUGAAGAUGAGGAAACUGAAGCAACUGUUCAAGAAGAGGAUAUAAAAAGGGACAGGCAUUGAUGAUGAUAUCAGAGCUUCUUCCUGGGGAAUCUCAGCCUCACAUGAUGGAGUAUGACUAAAGGAAAAAAAUAAGGCUCUUCACAUACUUUCUUGGCAGUCUGUGAGGGUCAGGGUUGAUUUUGUGUCCCUAAAAUGUCACAUGAAGUUCAUAGGCACUUCCAAAGGGGCAGUCUAGCAAGUUAAAGAGUAGAUGUGGGGCUGUGUGGAGUCCAUUGUUUGGGUAAUCUUUUUCAAACAGUAGGAAUAUACCAGCUUGUAAAGAUUUGCCCACUUAGCUUCAAGUCUCUCUGAACACAUUUCCCCCCGCUCUAUGAAUAGAUGAAGACAUACAAAUGGAACUCUUGAUAUUCUUAAGUGAAAAACAUGAUAUGGAAUAGCAGAUAAAUACAAACAAUUUCUUAUCCAGCAAAGAGCUCCAGAAAUAUUUUGACUUCAUUUAAAACAGUUAUAUAAAUAUUUGCUGGUGGAAUUUUUUUCUAAACCAAAUACCCUGAAGGAUUUUAGUUGUCUAUCUACAACUUUUUGCUUGUGGAAAAUGUUGACUUCCUGGUUACUUUGACUUGUGUUCACCUGAAAUUUUGCUUUUGCAGUAGUUUUUCUUAUGAUUUAGUGGCAUUGCCUGUCCAGUGACAGGAAGUGGUGUUCUUAUUGGGACUAAUAUGUGUUAUGGCCCUAGAACCAGCAGAAGCCACUCCUGCUUUUUUCCACACUCUUCUUUCUAUAGAAGAGAAGGGAAUGAGGAUCCCACAUGGCAUUCACUGCCUUGAGCAUACUGAGAUUUCUUUGCAAAAGGAGAAACAGCACCAGCAACUAAGCAUUUUAUCCCAUUUUAUUUUACUUCUUCUAUGAUUCUUUGCCACUUAGCAAUGCCAAUUAAUUGAUUUGGGACUGGAAAUACAUUUCUUAUACAAUCUUCAAGUUUUCUUUCAUAAGAACAUAACUUUCAUCUGAUAUUGUUCCCCACUUCUCUCUUUUCAAAUGUAAUAUUUGGGCCAGUCCUUGAAAGUGAACUGAGUUGAGUUCUCAUGGCCCAUAAAAGAACAUAUUCAAAAUGUAUCAUUUUCUUUAUGUCACAGAUAAAAGAUCAUUAAUUGUAUAUAAAAUUUCCAUAUAAUUUUUAAAAUUUUUAUUUUGCAAUAAUUUAUUUUAGAUUUACAUUAAAGUUGCAAGGAAGGU